GAUGAACGCUGGCGGCGUGCUUAACACAUGCAAGUCGAACGGAAAGGCCCAAGCUUUCUUGGGUACUCGAGUGGCGAACGGGUGAGUAACACGUGGGUGAUCUGCCCUGCACUUCGGGAUAAGCCUGGGAAACUGGGUCUAAUACCGGAUAGGACGAUGGUUUGGAUGCCAUUGUUGAAAGUUUUUUCGGUGUGGGAUAAGCUCGCGGCCUUUCAGCUUUUUGGUGGGGGAAUGGCCUACCAAAGCGUCGACGGGUAGCCGGCCUGAGAGGGUGUACGGGGACAGAGGGAGUGAGAGACGGCGCAGACACCUACGGGAGGCAGAAGUGGGGAAUAUUGCACAAUGGGCGCAAGCGUGAUGCAGAGACGCGGCGUGGGGGAUGACGGCCUUCGGGUGGUAAACUCCGUUCGCUAGGGACGAAGAGUGUGUGUGACGGUACCGGGAGAAGAAGCACCGGCUAACUACGUG
rnacentral:rRNA from 1 species